rnacentral:rRNA from 1 species
UGGGGAAUAUUGCACAAUGGGCGCAAGCCUGAUGCAGCAACGCCGCGUGAACGAUGAAGGUCUUCGGAUCGUAAAGUUCUGUUGCAGGGGAAGAUAAUGACGGUACCCUGUGAGGAAGCCCCGGCUAACUACGUGCCAGCAGCCGCGGUAAUACGUAGGGGGCUAGCGUUAUCCGGAUUUACUGGGCGUAAAGGGUGCGUAGGUGGUCCUUCAAGUCGGUGGUUAAAGCUACGGCUCAACCGUAGUAAGCCGCCGAAACUGGAGGACUUGAGUGCAGGAGAGGAAAGUGGAAUUCCCAGUGUAGCGGUGAAAUGCGUAGAUAUUGGGAGGAACACCAGUAGCGAAGGCGGCUUUCUGGACUGCAACUGACACUGAGGCACGAAAGCGUGGGUAGCAAACAGG